AGAGAGGAGAGAAAAAGGAAGGGGGUAUUCGGAGAUCCGGUUUUUGGAAUUGGAGAGCUAGCUUCAAGCUCCUUCGAUAGGUGUAGAAUUGGAUUUUGUAGGGUUGAGAGGACUUUUGCAAUCGUUGUUGAAAGUCAGUGUUUGUAUUGGUGAAUUGGAUUUUUUUUGUAAUAAAAUUAAGGCUGAUACUCUUGACUGUUUUGUGAAAUUGGAGAAACUUCUGUAGUUGAAAUUUAGAGGUAUCU
rnacentral:lncRNA from 1 species